rnacentral:rRNA from 2 species
AUUAAGCAUAUCAAUAAGCGGAGGAAAAGAAACCAACAGGGAUUGCCUCAGUAACGGCGAGUGAAGCGGCAAUAGCUCAGAUUUGAAAGCCGAUGUCAUUUUCAUGCGUCCGCAUUGUAAUCUGUAGAGGAGUGUUCGGGUGUGGCCUCGGUCCAAGUUCCUUGUGAACAGGACAUCAUGGAGGGUGAGAAUCCCGUGAAUGGCCUUGGUCCUAUGCCCGUGUGAACCUCCUUCAACGAGUCGAGUUGUUUGGGAAUGCAGCUCUAAAUGGGUGGUAUAUUUCAUCUAAAGCUAAAUACAGGCAGGAGACCGAUAGCGCACAAGUAGAGUGAUCGAAAGAUGAAAAGAACUUUGAAAAGAGAGUCAAAUAGUACGUGAAAUUGUUGAAAGGGAAGCACUUGCGUCCAGACUUGCCCGCGGUCGAUCAGCCGUCAAUUUUUUGAUGGUGCACUUGGCUGUGGGCAGGCCAGCAUCGGUCAAUGGCGAUGAGAAAAAGAUGCCUGGAAUGUGGCUCCUUCGGGAGUGUUAUAGCCUGGCAUGCAAUACCACCAGCUUUGACCGAGGCCCGCGCUUUAAACGGCUCGGAUGUUGGCGUAAUGGAUGCAAGUGACCCGUCUUGA